GAAACGUUUUAAAAUGUGGGGCUAUGCCUCCAAAUAUGCCUCUGAAUCGCGUGAUGCGUCCGAACAGCGGCAUCUAGUGGUAUAUGUCAUUGUGCUAUCAUCGUUCGACCAACAUCCUUCAAAACCAGCAUUUUUCGGAAAGACUACUAUUUGGAUAGCUGACAACCUGUCGAAUCUACUAUUUGGAUGGCUGACAACCUGUCGUAUCAAGGUAAGAUUAUUAUUGAAUUCUAUACUAGUCUAAUAAUAGUCUGUCAACUGUUCACUAGUAGGCUACCUGGAUAAGCGUAAUGUUUUCUUAUCAAGGCUAAUUGUGUUUAACGUUUACACGUGGCUAUAUUAUUAUAGCCUAGCCUGCCUUUGACAUUUGCACGUAAUUUUCUCUCGCAAUGUUCACAGCCAAAUGGAUCGAAAAACUCAGCCCAAAAUCGCCGGCUUCUUCAUGCGACAUAGCCGGCCGACUUCACCCUCCGCAUCGUCUCCCCCCCCCCCACCACCAGCACCUCCAUCGCCGGAUCCCCGGCAACCCAACAAACACAGAGGCAGUGGGUGGAACCCGGAGUGGGCUAUGGAUCCUAAAUAUGCAGGUUGGCUUUACCACACAGAACACGGAAUGUUUUGUAGAAUCUGCAGGAUGCACCGACAAAAGGCAUCUCGUGGCCCCUCUCAAAGGCCUUUCAUAGAGCUACCUUGUACCAACUACAGGCGCGAUGCCUUGGACCAGCACUUGGGCUCAACGAAUCAUAUUUCAUGUGUGGGCAUUACAGCCCAAUCAAGCCGAAGUCUGCCCAUCAAUGAGGCAUUUCAGCCCAUUUUGAAUUUGGAGCAUGAGGCCAUAAUUGGUGGCUUUAAAUGUCUAUACUGGCUGGUAAAACAUGAAAUUGCGCACCAUACAAAUUACCCGGCAUUGCUGGAUCUGGCAGACCUCCUAGGCUGCGAAUAUUUUGCCAAACUGAAGAUUGAUCAGAGGACAAACUACAGGUCCCACAGGAUUGUGGAUGAAAUGCUACAGAUUCUGGGUGAAGUGGUUGAGGAGCCCAUUU